GACGGGGGGUCCAAGCGUUGUUCGGAUUCACUGGGCGUAAAGGGUGCGUAGGCGGUCGGGUAAGUCUGAUGUGAAAUCUCACAGCUUAACUGUGAAACUGCAUUGGAUACUAUCCGGCUAGAGGAAUGGAGGGGAGACUGGAAUACUUGGUGUAGCAGUGAAAUGCGUAGAUAUCAAGUGGAACACCAGUGGCGAAGGCGAGUCUCUGGACAUUUCCUGACGCUGAGGCACGAAAGCCAGGGGAGCAAACGGG
rnacentral:rRNA from 1 species